CACUGGCUGAGGAGUCCCAUAAUAGGACGAAACGGCCGUCCAGUGC
rfam:Schistosoma mansoni, Puerto Rico, WGS project CABG01000000 data, contig: 0105